rnacentral:lncRNA from 1 species
CUUCAGGGCCACUGUGAGCCUCUGCCCUGGGCAGCUUUCACUAUGCAGAGAAAAUUUCUUUUCUGCCUCUCAUAAACCUAUACUUUAACUGCCUUUUCUGCAUGUCUUGUCCAAUUCUUUGUUCAAGACAUCAACAACCUGGAAAGAAACCUUGUAGGACCAGUUGCAGAGCCAGAAAAAGUGCCCACGGGAAUGCAGACACUGUCACUGCUUUGGAGGCUGGAUAUGCAGCCUAAGGAAAUUAGUGCUUAACAAGAGCCGGGCUCUGCUGGCUUUGCAACUCUUGCCUGGAGGCUGUGGCUGCACCAGGGGCCAAAGCAGUCAGAGAGGCGGGCCUGGCAGAGGCUGUGGUCACCUCUAAGAUUGCUGAGCCUCAGAAGUCCUCAAGGCACACACAGUCAGUAAUAGUCUAGGCUCUAAGAGCCAGAGGAAAGGGGGGGGUGUUUGCAUUUUCCUCAUCUCCACAGCUGCCUCCAGCUGAAGGCCCCUGGCUUGGAGCUCCUGCCUCUACACUGACUUCUGCCCUGAGAAGAGGCUGGUGCCAUAGAGGGGAGUCGGAGGGGCCUUGUCCUGCUGUGAAGAAAGUUCCAGAGUCCUGGCCUGUACUCCCUGGUUGCUGGAAGAAGAUAACUCUUGGGAAGUUUAGAAAUCGUCUCCCAGACAUGUAACAAGGAGUUGCUGAGCUGGUGGUGCUGAGUCUUCUUUGCCAUGGAUUUCACCUUCAGCUGUAACCUCCAUAGAUUUCAAGGGUAUGAAAGGUCCUGAGACUACACUGUUGGAACGACUGCAUCACACCACUCUGCGCUCCCAGAGGUAGACAGGAGGGAGAAGCAUCUUUCCACUUUAUCCACGUUACCCAUUGUUGUUACUGAUUUAUUUUUAAAUCCAACUUGGCUUCUCCCCUGAAAACUGUUGAGAAGUAAAGAAAACUGACCAUAGCUUCCUGAAGUCAAAGCACCUAAAACAAAGAGAAGGCCAUGGAAGUGAGUAAGGGGCUUCUCCAAGACUGCAAGGUCACCCAAGGUCCCUACCGUCCAUGCUGCUGAGAAGCUGCCAGUUUCUUCUUUGCUUGGUUGGUCUCACAACCAACCACCCACUCCCACCCACUAUACCUCAACACCCAACCUGGAGAGGUGUUGUUCUCUGGGUCCUGAAAACACUAAGGGAAGCUGGGAGUAGGGGGCACAUGCCUGUAAUCCCACCACUUGGGAGGCUGAGGCAGGAAGAUGGUGAGUUCCAGGCCUGGAUUGCAUAGAAAGACUAUGUCUCAAAACACACACACACACACACACAUGGGGACUCACUACGGCUUUGGACUGACCCACCCCCGACCUCUCUGGGAUGAUGGCGCAGGGAAGAGCACCCUCAGUCUGUGGUACACUAGCCCCUGUUCUUGGGUUGGGGCUCAGAUGAAAAGCGAAGGUCACUUUUCUAGGCCUGAAGAGGAAAUGUAAAUCUCUCCCAGCCCACGUGGCAGAAGCUGCCAGAAGGCCAUUGCCCUGUUAGUAAACAGGGCUGCCUGGGCCAUCUUUCUCUUUUGUAAUAACCUGCAGGGCACCUAUUGAUUGCACGUGCUGGUCCCUCAUAAGUGAGGACAGGGCUGUCUUCCGGUUGCUCUGGAGCUGUGAGGGUGCCUAAAUUGGCUGACUAAUACUGCAUGCUCAUGGAGCACAGUGUCCUGUGCCACCUAAACAUGAAGAAUAUGUAUCAUCAGGCGCCGUGAGAGUGCAGGCCCCAACUCCAGCGGCUUCAAGGCUUCCGGGCGUGCUGCAGACUGCAAUUAGGCAGUUUGCUUGCCUCCUCCCGAGAGGAAAGAACACUGAUGUGGCUCCUGCUGCAGCCUGAGCUACUUUAAGAUGGAGGGAGCGGCAGGUCUUGGAGGGUGGGCAAUGGGCCAGCUCCUCACCUCAGCUACCCCCUCAGCAGGAAUGGCAGCCAGCAAAUAGAAACCAACCCACAUCUUUUAGCCUGUGGUGGACAGAGUUAUGACUCAAAAGACACGUUCAAAACCCCCACUUCGGCCACUUUUGGCUGUGUGAUAUUAGUGGCUUAACCUCUCUGAGCCUCAGCAUCUCAUCUGGAAAGUUGAGAAAAUAAUAUUUCCUUAAUUGUUCAUGUGGUUAGGCCUGCCUGGAACCCAGUAUCCUCUCAUAAAUACCGGCACUGAGUCAAAAGCAGCUGAACACAGCAGUAGGUACCGGACUGAAACUACUUUUCCUUUCCACCCCUGAAAUCUGGCACCAGGAACUUUUCAGUGCUAUUGCCAGGCAAUGCCUUGCUAUCUAAGAAGUGAGGCCAGGAAACUCCUGGCUUGAUAAAUUGGAAUUAUCUCUCCCAUCCCUUUCAUCUUUCUGUGCCCCUCCUGACCUAGCUUCUGAAUUUAACAUUGAUUCCACAGGGAAUGUCACUAAAAUGUAUCGUGAACACAGAGAAGCAUGGCACCAUAGCUUACCCUUCUAAAAGAAAACCUUGGCACCCGCAGGCCCACCCUGGGCAGAGCCUUCAGAGCGUCUCUAACUCUGGCCCUGGACAAUGGGCUCUAUGAGUAGCACUGUCCUUGCAGCUCACUUGUGGCUCCUUUGUUGAUGUUGCCACAAUCAAAGCCGAUGAAAGGACGGUGUGAAGAGCCAUAUUUCCAUAUUUUCCUCCUGGUCCUGGAAAUGACAUCUACUGCCUUGGGACGGAGGGUACAGUGGGUGAAUGGUGCCCCCCAAAUAUAUGAUCACACGGGGACCCUGUGAGUGUGAUCUUCUUUGGGCAAAGGGUCUUUACAGAUGUGAUUAAAUCAGCAUCUUGAGCUGCCAUUGUUCUAAAUUACCUGGGGUGGGCAGGCGGCGUAAAUGGAGUGACAAGGGUCCCUUGAGACAGAAGAGGGACUGGCACAGAGAGAAGCUCAGGAGAAGAUGAUGGAGAUGCAGCCUGGAGUGAAGCAGCCCCAGUCAAGGCUUCCUGGGCCAUCAGGAGCGGGGGGGGGGGGGCAGAGGAAGACUGUCUGGAGAGCCUUUGGAAGGAGGGAGUGUGGCCCUGCUGACACCUGGGUUUGGGACUCUGGCUUCUACAAUUGGGAGAGGAUGAAUUUCUAUUACUUUAGGCUACUGCUGAGGCUUAGAUACGGUUUUUCUCCAAAAGCUCAUGUGCCCGAGACUUGGUCCCUGAUGUCCUGGUAUUGAGGUGUUGAUGACUUUCAGAAGGGUGAUUAGCCAGGGGCAGCACCCUCAGAAAGACCGGCUUGGUUACCCUCAUAGGGGAUUGAUAAAAACGAAUGUGGCUUUCUUUUUUGUUGUUGUUUUUUUGAGACAGGAACUCACUAUGUAGUUCAGGCUGGUCUAGACUCACUAUGUAGCCCAUGCUGGCUUCAAACUCAUGGCAAUCCUCCUGCCUCAGCCUCCUGAGUGCUGGCAUUACGGGGAUGCACCACUAUGCCUGGCUUCUUCUCUCAGCAUAUGACCUCUCCUGCCUGUGCUGCUGCCCUGUGAUGCCAUCUGCCCAGAAGCUGAGGCUACACAAUGCCACACACUUGGACCUCCAGAACUGUAAGCUAAAUAAACCUCCUUAUUUUCUUUAUGAAGGAAGGUAUCUUAUGAUACGAACAAGGUAUCUUGUUAUAGCAACACACAGUGGACUGAGAGCCACCAAGCUUGUGGUCGUCUGUGAUGGCGGCUCUACUCCAGCAUGCUCCUGGGGUGGGACACAGCUCAAGGUCAUCUUCCACGGGUGAUGUUUUCCCUGUCUGUGGCAGGACUUACCUGAACAACAGCCUCAGCUGGCCUGGCCUGCAAUCCAGGAGCCGCAGACAACCAGAUAGGAGUGUGGCUGAGGAUCUGCCUGGGACAGAGCCUUCUGAAAUGCUGGAAACAGGCUCCAUCUUAGAACUAGACAGACUGAUGUUGAAAUCCCAACACUGACUGACUCUGAGGCCUCUCUGCCUUUCAAGUCCCUCAUCAAUAAAGCGAGGAAAUAAUGUUUACCUUGUAGGCAAGAGCAGGUCCAGCAUCCAAAGCUUACAGAAUUUGGGUGACACUUUAAAAGAGAAAGAAUACAACGAUUUAAAUCCAAAGUUAGGGAAGGAGUCUUGGGAGGCCCUGUAUAAGUUCGGGCCCCUGAGGUGUAAGUCAGGCCCACUCUGUUCAUUGGUGCUCAGAGAAUCACAGGUGAAAACAGGGAGCACAAGGCAGAGCCUGGAUCCUGCUGAGAGCUCUGUAAGAGACAAAAGUUGUCAGCUGGGCGUGGUGGUGCACGCCUGUAAUUCCAGCGCUUGGGCGGCUGAGGCAGGAGGAUCACUUCAAGUGAGUUCUCUGUCUCCAAAAAAAAAAGAAAAGAAAAGAAAAAGAAAGUAUGGAGAUAUGUGUGGAACACAGAAGAAACUCUGAAGGAUACAUUCCAUAGAGACUGCAGUUGUUGCUCUCUUGUCUCUUUUCCCUUCCUUUUGGUAACAGGAAACUGACUUCUAGGACGAUGGCUGUGUGCUCAGCUAAAGCCACCUGUCCCAGCUUCUCUCACAGCUGGGUGUAGCCAUGAGACUAAAUUUUGGCCAAGGAAGUAUAAACAAAGCGUGAUGGCUGAAAUCCAGCUUCCCCAGAGUUCACAGAGGAAGCGCUCACCUCGUGCUCAGAGUGUGGCCCUAACGGAAAGAGGGUCCCUGAGGACAUUAACCGAGGGGAUGGGGGACUCACAUCCCACAUGAAUAAUGGCCUAAUGAAAAGGGGAAAUUAAGACGCGCACGCGCACGGAGAGCGCUGCGUGAAGAUGGGGCAGAGACCAGCAGCUACUUCUACAAAUCCAGGGACCUCAAAGGCUGUCGCAGAAGUCAGGAGAGGCAGCAGUGCUCAGAAGGCACCAAUCCUGGGUUGCCAGCCUCCAGACUGAGAGAAGGGCGACAGUUUCUGUCAUACGGAGACCGGUAUCGCAAAUGGCAGACAGAGUGCAAGGAGGAACCCGGGACCCCAAAAACCUCAGGGAGCUGUCACAUUACUCUUGCACUGCCUACCCCGGGGCUUAUUUUCUAGAAAAAUAAACUUAAGCUUUUGUUAUUGUUUUAUUUGGUUUUUGAAAUAUACGAUUUUGAUAAAUUACUCUUUGAGGGGAGGGCUUGGAAUUGAAAUAUCAGUGAAGAAUUUUUGCUUUACCUGUAACGUUUCAAUUCUGAUUUCAAGGAUAUAUUUAGGUAUUCUUUUGUAACUAAAAUAAAAUUAUUUCAUAAAUUACAUGAGAAAAAAGUAUGAGAACAAAGAUUCAAAAAGAUCUACGAAAUAUUAUCAACUGCAAUGUAUGAAUCUUAUGUGGAUCCUGGCUUACCAAAAGAAAGGGAAAUUUUUUGAGACAAGCUCUCACUGAGAGUCUAGGCUGGCCUCGAACUCAUGAUCCUCCUGCCUCAGCCUCCUAAGUGCUGGGAUUAUAG